GCCAUUGAUGAUAUAAUCCACCUAUAUGAGGUGUAGUGGAGCCAAGUCUCUGCUUUUGCAGAGAGAACCUACUUGGUGAAGCUACAUUGCACACGAUCACACGGGAUUUAACUGAGGC